CUAAGUUUGAUGGCGACCGGCGCACGGGUGAGUAACACGUAUCCAACCUGCCGAUGACUCGGGGAUAGCCUUUCGAAAGAAAGAUUAAUACCGGAUGGCAUACGAAUAUCGCAUGAUAUUUUUAUUAAAGAAUUUCGGUUAUCGAUGGGGAUGCGUUCCAUUAGGUUGUUGGCGGGGUAACGGCCCACCAAGCCUUCGAUGGAUAGGGGUUCUGAGAGGAAGGUCCCCCACAUUGGAACUGAGACACGGUCCAAACUCCUACGGGAGGCAGCAUG
rnacentral:rRNA from 1 species